rnacentral:rRNA from 1 species
UACGAAGGGGGCAAGCGUUGUUCGGAAUUACUGGGCGUAAAGGGCGCGUAGGCGGCUUAUCAAGUCAGGUGUGAAAGCCCUGGGCUCAACCCAGGAAGUGCACUUGAAACUUCGAGGCUCGAGUUCUGGAGAGGAUGGCGGAAUUCUCGGUGUAGAGGUGAAAUUCGUAGAUAUCGAGAGGAACACCGGUGGCGAAGGCGGCUAUCUGGACAGUGACUGACGCUGAGACGCGAAAGCGUGGGGAGCAAACAGG